CGUUAUUUAAUUAUUUAUUUCAAUCAGAGUCCAGGCUGAUUGUGUGUGACACCAACGCAACACCGAAGACACAAUGCAUCAUUGCAAACCGCAGAAGAUGUUCAGACAUGUUCAAUGCGCCAAAACAGGAAUGGAUUUGGACUGCACAUGAAAGUGGAGAUGCACAAUCAACUGAAAAAGUCCAAAGUGAUCCCAAGCCAUUUUCGGUCCUGAAUGUAUCUUCAGCGAGUCCGCGAGCAGAGUCCGCACUCAAGUUGGCUGCACCAUCGCUGGUAAACGACUACUGUAAGACUAUUUAUCUACUUUGUAGUUAUUCUCUAUUCAUCCUUCAUACAUAUUAAUACUUAGGCUACCUACGCGCUUCCCUACAUACCCCCGGUACUGACUGACCAACCGACGACUUAGUUACCUACCUACAUACCAAGACACCUACUG